rnacentral:tRNA from 1 species
GGAGCGGUGCCUCAAUUGGUACAGGACCCGGUUGGAAACCGGACAUGUCGUGUCAAUCCACGCUUUGAGGGUUCAAGUCCCUCUCGUUCCG